UCGAGCGACAGACGAGGAGCUUGCUCCUCUGACGUUAGCGGCGGACGGGUGAGUAACACGUGGAUAACCUACCUAUAAGACUGGGAUAACUUCGGGAAACCGGAGCUAAUACCGGAUAAUAUAUUGAACCGCAUGGUUCAAUAGUGAAAGACGGUUUUGCUGUCACUUAUAGAUGGAUCCGCGCCGCAUUAGCUAGUUGGUAAGGUAACGGCUUACCAAGGCAACGAUGCGUAGCCGACCUGAGAGGGUGAUCGGCCACACUGGAACUGAGACACGGUCCAGACUCCUACGGGAGGCAGCAGUAGGGAAUCUUCCGCAAUGGGCGAAAGCCUGACGGAGCAACGCCGCGUGAGUGAUGAAGGUCUUCGGAUCGUAAAACUCUGUUAUUAGGGAAGAACAAAUGUGUAAGUAACUAUGCACGUCUUGACNGUACCUAAUCAGAAAGCCACGGCUAACUACGUGCCAGCAGCCGCGGUAAUACGUAGGUGGCAAGCGUUAUCCGGAAUUAUUGGGCGUAAAGCGCGCGUAGGCGGUUUUUUAAGUCUGAUGUGAAAGCCCACGGCUCACCGUGGAGGGUCAUUGGAAACUGGAAACUUGAGUGCAGANGAGGAAAGUGGAAUUCAUGUGUAG
rnacentral:rRNA from 1 species